UAAAAACUUAAUUCACAAAUAUCAUUUAACACUUAAUUUACAUGUAUUACUGGAACAGAUGUAUCGCUAAAACACUUUAACACCCCAAACAUGGUCUAGACGUUAUUGUAACACACUUCGCCCGUAUCCCUCGCCCGUAUCCCUCGCCAGAACAGGGUUCGAGGUGCUACCAGAUUUAAACUCAUCCAUUUAUAUAAAACCAGACCGUAAAAUUUUUUGAUCAAUUUUAAACUUUUCAUACACACGUAUAUUAUCCUUUAAUCGGGCUUACAAGGCCCAAAAUAUUCAUGAGGCAUUAUUAAAUAUUUACCAAUAUCUUAGUCUUGUAUCAUUUACUUACUCAACUUUACAACCCUAUACAUGCCAUAGACUCGAAACACUAAGAUUUACUUACGCCGAUAGCGUAGACUUGACAAUGUGAUAAUAUCUCUGACGGCCUCCAACCGGAGCUAACCUGGCAACCCUAGGGAAUAUGGGAAAGAAAAGGGGAGUAAGCUUUACGCUUAGUAAGUUCAUAAGAAAACAAUAAGCAACUCAUUAACAAGUUUUAUCAAUGUUUACAACAUAAUCACAAAUUCACUACAAGUUGUCUUCCUGAGCAAUAGUCACUAAAUUAUUUAUAACUAGAGCUACAAAACUCCAAAUCAAUUGCCAUUAAUUUUCCCUGAAAAUAGACUCACAUAUCUUCCAUCCAUAAAAUUUUCAGAAUUUUAGGUUUGGCCAAUCAAUACCAGAUUUUUCUUAAAGUUUCCCCUGUUUCACUGUUUGACUAAUCUGACCACUCUUCACUACGAAUCAAAUUUCUCAUUGUACAGAAUUCAAAAUAUGUUCUAUUUGAGUUCAUUUGAAACUAGACUCAUUAAGGAGUCUAAGCAUACAAAUUUUCUCUUAUAACCAUUUUUGUACAAAUUAUAAUGAUUUUCUAAAAACAGAACAGGGGACCCCGAAGUCAUUUGACUCUAUCCCACGCCACUUCAAAUAUCUCAUUAUCAGCAAUUCUUUUGCUUACACGGUUUCUUUAUAAGAAACUAGACUCAUUAAGAUUUAAUUACAUAAUUUAUUCAGUUUCUAACUCAACUCCAAUAAUUUAUGGUGAUUUUCCAAAAUCACGUUACUGCUGCUGUCCCAAGCAGAUUUAUUACAAAUUUACUCUUUCACACAUUCUUUGCAUUCACAUUAUUUAAACAUGUAUAUCACCACUCAAUUUCAUCACAUAUCUAUAAUUUCACUCAAGCAUAAUCUCAAUACAAUACAUCAUGGUCAAUGAUUCGCACACAACCGUUCAAAUUAGCAAUUAUAAGAUGAUUCCGCACAUAGUCCACCCUUAUCGAUAAUUUACGAUGGUUUUGCCCUUACUUACAUAUAUGACAUAGGCAUUUUCACCUAUGCUUCUCAUUUCACACUCAUGAUUCAAUUCCAAUCGAUCUAACAUGCAUAAGAAUAUAUCACAUACCUGGCCAACUUAAUGCAUUGAACAAAUUCAAUUGCCGAUUUAACACAAGGUCUCAUAGUCUUAGACUUUUAUCAAAUCACCGGCAUUUAGCCUGCUAGGUUUUAAACCCGAUAAUAUUAUUCACCAGCUUAAAGCUUGCUAGGCUCAAAGCCCAUAUAUCACCAUUAUAAAGUCGUCUCAUAAGCAAUUCAUAUAAUAUAGCAUGUAUACCUGUUCACUUUGCUCUAUUUAAUCAUUCAAUCACAAUUUAUAAUUUCCCUUUGAAUCAUUCGAUAUUUUGCACACUAAGUGUCAUUCUCAAUAUCUCGCACACUAAGUGCCAUUCUCAAUAUUUCGUACACUGAGUACCAUAUUGAUUGCCCCGCACACUAAGUGCCACAUUUUGUCGAUAUGUCGUCAGACAUUAAAAUAUUCACGUAUAUACAAUUUAUACAAUAUUAAAGCAUUAGAAACAUCAAUUUAACAAUGCUUAUUGCAUACGAACUUACCUGGCUAAAUUGUAGAGAUACCAAAGUUCAGGGGCAUUUUGGUAAUUUUAUCAUUUUUCUCGAUUUUCCACCCGAUCUUGAUCUAAAUUAAUAAUUUCAUUCAGUAUAUUAAUUUAGACAUUAAAACACCUCAUUUCAUACAAUUUGGUCAUUUUUUUCAUUUUUACAAAAUUACCCCUAAAGUUUUACUUUUAUUCAUUUUAGUCCCUGAGCUCAAAACAUGCAAAUUAACCAUUUUUAACCAUAAUUAAGCUUAGCCAAAUGUUCAUGGUAUCAAAACAGUCCAUAAUUCACUUUAUGGAAAAAUUAUAUUUUUGCCCCUAAUAUUUCAACUUCUUUACAAUUUAGUCCCUAUAUCAUAAAAAUGCAAAUUCAUGAAAUUGAGUAAAAUUCUACUAUAGACGAAUAUCACUAGUGUCUCUAGCAGCCCACACAUUUCAUUUAUUUGACAUUUUAACCACAAAAUUUUCACAUUUAUCAAUUUAGCCCUUAAUUGUCAAUUUCACAAAAAUUCACUUAACAAAAAGUGUUUAACUAUCAACAAGGACUCAUAUUCUUCCAUUAAACUUCAAAGCCCUAUUAUACUCAUCAAUGGAAAAUAUCAAACUAUUCAAUGGUUUUGCAAAAUAGUCCCCUCAUUAGAUAGAUUAAGCAACAAUGAUCCCGAAAAUAUAAAAAUAAUUAAAAACGGGACUAGAAAUGCCUACCAUGCAUUAGCUGAAAGUUGGAAGCUUC
rnacentral:lncRNA from 1 species